rnacentral:lncRNA from 1 species
CUAACAGGAGCGUCCUUGGUCUCCUCACUCAGUAUUGUCACAGAGUCCUAGAAUGUGAUGUACCUGUUCAGUGGCAGCACUCCUGUGGCAGUUAUUGACUGAGAGGCACUCUAUAUGACUUCCAGGUGCCCUUGCAGUAGCAUGCAGUUCUCCUGGUACUUGAGAGUGUUGACUUUAAGGUGCCUCCUUUGUUGGCAAAUUUCCAGUUCCUUCUGCAUUACAUCUCUCCUUUGAAAAUACUGCAUUGAAUAAGGAUUUCACUUCUUUGGAGCUUUGCUCCUCUUUCACCUGGUUCCUGUGGUGAAAAUAAUUAAGAGUAAUUGGUUGCUAUAGAAAUAU